rnacentral:lncRNA from 10 species
UAUGACUCACUCUCUUCCCCUCCCUCUCCCUCUCUUUUGGUAUAUGCCUGCCCUGGGAGAACACACAAGCUCUGCUGUCAGCCAUGUGGAAUGUGUCUGACUCACAACGAAGUAGGAAUGAAGCAUGCCGGGCCUCAUCUCGGACCUGCACACUGCCCCUCAUUAUGUUCAUGAUCGGGUGAGGAUUCUUGUCUCAUGUCUUUCCAAGUCCUUGCAAGGCAGUGUCUCUCUGCUUACAGCAUUCUAUUCCAGCAGGAAAUGGAUAAAGAGUGGCCAGAAGGUGAAAAAGAAGAGAUGGCCCCCUGAAAGGGACAUCCACAUUUAUUUGAGCACCUACCAGGUACCAGACAUUAUGCUUGACCAUUUUUA